rnacentral:rRNA from 1 species
UACGUAGGGGGCAAGCGUUGUCCGGAAUCAUUGGGCGUAAAGCGCGUGUAGGCGGCUCGGUAAGUCUGCUGUGAAAGUCCAGGGCUCAACUCUGGGAUGCCGGUGGAUACUGUCGAGCUCGAGUCCGGAAGAGGCGAGUGGAAUUCCUGGUGUAGCGGUGAAAUGCGCAGAUAUCAGGAGGAACACCAAUGGCGAAGGCAGCUCGCUGGGACGUGACUGACGCUGAGACACGAAAGCGUGGGGAGCGAACGGG